UUAGUAGAGAAAUUUGAAUAG
ensembl:piRNA 21ur-14536 ncRNA